rnacentral:lncRNA from 1 species
GUAUAGGACUACAUGCACUAUGCGAUGUGUAUGUAAUGUAUUUGAAUUCAGAGUAAAAAAGCCGUUGCAUCAAGUAUCAUCCUCCUGAAUACUCUCGUUUUCUCCUGCAAAUUUACAGUAUGGGCAUCCUUUUUUAACAUCUUUCGUCAAAGAAGUGGAUUCAAAGCACAUUGUGGCCUCAGUAUAUUGAUGUGAAACCAUGCAGAAAAUGCUACUCUCUCUCAACCUUGUGGAUGUUCCCUACUUCCCUAAGGAUCAGCAGCCUCUUGAAACAGUUGAAGCCAUUAUCGAAUUCCUUGCGUCUAUGUUCCCUGGAUCUGAAAGCAGUGCAUAAUGCCAGAGAUUCCACCCAAAAGCUAACCCAUGAGUCCAAGCUGAAGAGGAAUAUGUCCAAAAUUACAUGUAGAUCUACACUCACCCGAUAGUUAAACUGCUAGAAAAAAGGUUUUUUUUUCACUUCAUUAUAAUUUAUAGAGAGAGAUUGGGGGAGAGGUGAGGUGUAGCCACAAACCUGAAUGGCUAAGCUGUGGAACUGAAAUUCCCAUUCAUGUCACUUACAAUUUUAAUGAAUUACAGGGUGUACGAACUGACAUAAUAACAGUUUGAGUAAAA